GAUGAACGCUGGCGGCGUGCCUAAUACAUGCAAGUCGAGCGAACAGACGAGGAGCUUGCUCCUCUGACGUUAGCGGCGGACGGGUGAGUAACACGUGGAUAACCUACCUAUAAGACUGGGAUAACUUCGGGAAACCGGAGCUACUACCGGAUAAUAUAUUGAACCGCAUGGUUCAAUAGUGAAAGACGGUUUUGCUGUCACUUAUAGAUGGAUCCGCGCCGCAUUAGCUAGUUGGUAAGGUAACGGCUUACCAAGGCGACGAUGCGUAGCCGACCUGAGAGGGUGAUCGGCCACACGGGAACUGAGACACGGUCCAGACUCCUACGGGAGGCAGCAGUAGGGAAUCUUCCGCAAUGGGCGAAAGCCUGACGGAGCAACGCCGCGUGAGUGAUGAAGGUCUGCGGAUCGUAAAACUCUGUUAUUAGGGAAGAACAAAUGUGUAAGUAACUAUGCACGUCUUGACGGUACCUAAUCAGAAAGCCACGGCUAACUACGUG
rnacentral:rRNA from 1 species